UACAGAGGUGGCAAGCGUUGUUCGGAAUUACUGGGCGUAAAGGGCGCGUAGGCGGCUCGGCUAAGUCGGAUGUGAAAACUCUGGGCUCAACCCAGGAGCCUGCAUUCGAAACUGACGAGCUCGAGUUCUGGAGGGGAAAGCGGAAUUCCUGGUGUAGCGGUGAAAUGCGUAGAUAUCGAGAGGAACACCAGUGGCGAAGGCGAGUCUCUGGACGACUCCUGACACUGAGGCACGAAAGCUGGGGGAGCAACAGG
rnacentral:rRNA from 1 species